rnacentral:miRNA from 1 species
GAGCAGCAGAGGAUCUGGAGGU